GGGAGCUGGACUUAUAGCGUACGGCUACGGUCAGCUAAAUAUAGAUCGACUGCAUCGCGCGGCAUAUAGUCGAUUUCCUCAGCUGGGGAUGGUCGACUGAUUAAAAGCAUCGACUGCCACACUGGGACUGAGACACGGCCCAGACUCUACGGGAGGCAGCAGUGGGGAAUAUUGGACAAUGGGGGCAACCCUGAUCCAGCCAAGCCGCGUGAGUGAUGAAGGCCUUCGGGUCGUAAAGCUCUGUGGGGAGGGACGAACGACCGGCGUAACCCGUCGGGGUGACGGUACCUCCUUAGCAAGCACCGGCUAACUUCGUGCCAGCAGCCGCGGUAAUACGAAGGGUGCAACGUUGCUCGGAAUCAUUGGGCGUAAAGCGCGGCGUAGGCGGCUUCGCAAGUCGGAUGUGAAAUACCUAGGCUCAACCAAGGACGUGCAUCCGAAACUGCGAGGCUUGAGUACAGCAGAGGAUCGCGGAAUUCCCGGUGUAGAGGUGAAAUUCGUAGAUAUCGGGAGGAACACCAGUGGCGAAGGCGGCGAUCUGGGCUGUUACUGACGCUGAGGUGCGAAAGCGUGGGGAGCAAACAGGAUUAGAUACCCCGGUAGUCCACGCUGUAAACGAUGAGUGCUAGGUGCUGCGGGUAUUGACCCCUGCGGUGCCGUAGCUAACGCGUUCAGCACUCCGCCUUGGGAGUACGGUCGCAAGAUUAAAACUCAAGAGAAUUGACGGGGGCGCGCACAAGAGGGGAGCAUGUGGUUUCAAUUCGACGCAACGCGCAGAACCUUACCUGGGUUAAUUCCACUAGAAGCUCCAGAGAUGGCGGGGUGCGGCUUCUGGGGAGCGAGUGAGAAGGUGCUGCAUGGCUGUCGUCAGCUCG
rnacentral:rRNA from 1 species